rnacentral:rRNA from 1 species
UAAGACGAACCGUACGAACGUUAUUCGGAAUUACUGGGCUUAAAGGGUGCGUAGGCUGUGCAGAAAGUUGGGUGUGAAAUCCCCCGGCUCAACCGGGGAAUAGCGCUCAAAACUACUGUGCUAGAGGGAGACAGAGGUAAGCGGAACUCAGGGUGGAGCGGUGAAAUGCGUUGAUAUCCUGAGGAACACCGGUGGCGAAAGCGGCUUACUGGGUCUCUUCUGACGCUGAGGCACGAAAGCUAGGGUAGCGAACGGGAUUAGAUACCCCGGUAGUCCUAGCCGUAAACGAUGAGCACUGGGUUGGAGGGUCCCUCAUAGCCUUCCAGCCGCAGCGAAAGUGUUAAGUGCUCCGCCUGGGGAGUAUGGUCGCAAGGCUG